AUGAACGCUGGCGGCGUGCCUAAUCCCUGCAAGUCGCGCGAACGGACGAGAAGCUUGCUUCUCUGAUGUUAGCGGCGGACGGGUGAGUAACACGUGGAUAACCUACCUAUAAGACUGGGAUAACUUCGGGAAACCGGAGCUAAUACCGGAUAAUAUUUUGAACCGCAUGGUUCAAAAGUGAAAGACGGUCUUGCUGUCACUUAUAGAUGGAUCCGCGCUGCAUUAGCUAGUUGGUAAGGUAACGGCUUACCAAGGCAACGAUGCAUAGCCGACCUGAGAGGGUGAUCGGCCACACUGGAGCUGAGACACGGUCCAGACUCCUACGGGAGGCAGCAGUAGGGAAUCUUCCGCAAUGGGCGAAAGCCUGACGGAGCAACGCCGCGUGAGUGAUGAAGGUCUUCGGAUCGUAAAACUCUGUUAUUAGGGAAGAACAUAUGUGUAAGUAACUGUGCACAUCUUGACGGUACCUAAUCAGAAAGCCACGGCUAACUACGUG
rnacentral:rRNA from 1 species